CCCGAAAUAAUUAUAUUCUUAUUUAGAGCUGGAGUUUUCAUUGGUACCAACAGCGCUAGCAUUUGGAUAAUUGAUAUAUUCAAAUUUAGGGUCAAAAGGAUUUUCGUUGCUCCACAACACCUUGAAGAUGUUGUCCCUAUCUUCCAUACAUUGUUUUCCCAGAAUCCGAUGGACCUGCAUGCGACUCUGCAAAAAUGGAAGAUAAGUCAUUUGAAGGGGCAAUUAUCUAGCAUGCGCAAGGGAACAUCUCUCUAAACUAAAAAGAGAUGCUCAAGGGAUCACUUUCUUCGUCUCUUCUUCCUCUUUUUUAUUUUCUAUUUUCUUAUUUUGGACAUGUUUGUUUGUGAAGACUGAAAAUGUUGGGUCUUUCAAUAUGGUGACUGCAUUAAAACCUUAUCCAAGUAUUGUAAUACUGAGCUUGACCAUGUGGGUCAUAUCUUAGUGCUUUCAUUGUCUUUUGGUCGACAAGAUAAAUUGAAACAUUAGAUGGACCUCCUUCCUUA